rnacentral:rRNA from 1 species
CCUACGGGUGGCUGCAGUGGGGAAUAUUGGGCAAUGGGCGAAAGCCUGACCCAGCGACGCCGCGUGGGUGAUGAAGGCCUUCGGGUUGUAAAGCCCUUUCGUGUGGAAAGAACAGUCCCACGACUAAUACUCGUGGGAUUUGACGGUACCACAGGAAGAAGCACCGGCUAACUCCGUGCCAGCAGCCGCGGUAAUACGGAGGGUGCGAGCGUUGUUCGGAAUUACUGGGCGGAAAGGGCGAGUCGGGUGUGAAAUCCUUCGGCUUAACCGGAGAACUGCAUCUGAAACUUCACAACUAGAGUACAGGAGAGGGAAACGGAAUUCCCGGUGUAGAGGUGAAAUUCGUAGAUAUCGGGAGGAACACCAGUGGCGAAGGCGGUUUCCUGGCCUGAUACUGACGCUGAGGCGCGAAAGCGUGGGGAGCAAACAGGAUUAGAUACCCUUGUAGUC